UACAGGGGGGGCAAGCGUUGUUCGGAAUUACUGGGCGUAAAGGGCUCGUAGGCGGCCAACUAAGUCCGACGUGAAAUCCCCAAGCUUAACUUGGGAACUGCGUCGGAUACUGGAUGGCUUGAAUUCGGGAGAGGGAUGCAGAAUUCCAGGUGUAGCGGUGAAAUGCGUAGAUAUCUGGAGGAAUACCGGUGGCGAAGGCGGCAUCCUGGACCGACAUUGACGCUGAUGAGCGAAAGCUAGGGGAGCAAACGGG
rnacentral:rRNA from 1 species